rnacentral:lncRNA from 1 species
AUGGUGCCAAAUCUCUCAAUUUCCCCAAAUUCCCCCAACGUCACCCCAAAUCGCCUCGGAAUGCCGCCAAAAAUCCCGCAAAUCCCCCUAAAGUCUCUCCAAAUCCCCUCAAAAUACCCCCGGUGCCCAAAUCCCUCACCCGGUGCCCCCCGGUUCCCCUCCCGGUGCCCAAAUCUUUUACCUGGUUUUCCUCCGGUGCCCAAAUCCCCCCUGCCCAGCGCUGUCAGGUUUCCCCCGGUGCCCCCCGGUGUCCCCCGGUGCCCAAAUCCCCCUUCCCCAGCUCUGUCAGGUUUCCCCCGGUGCCCCCCGAUGUCCCCGGUUCUCCUCCUCGGUGCCCCCCGCUGUCCCCCGGUGUCCCCCGGUGUCCCCAGUUCCCCUCCCCGGUGCCCUCCGGUGUCCCCCGGUGUCCCCCGGUGUCCCCCGUUCCCUUUCCCGGUGACCCCCGGUGCCCAAAUUCCCCCUCCCCAGCCCUGUCAGGUUUCCCCCNNNNNNNNNNGGUGCCCAAAUUCCCCCUCCCCAGCCCUGUCAGGUUUCCCCCGGUGCCCCUCGGUGUCCCCGGUGCCUCCCGGUGCCCCCCGGUGUCCCCGGUUCUCCUCCCCGGUGCCCCCCCGGUGUCCCCGGUUCCCUCCCCGGUGCCCCCCGGUGCCCGACCCCGCACCCGCUGCUCCCCGGGCGGGCUCCGAGCCCCGGAGCUGCUGCAGAGCCUCCGCCGAGCCCGGGGGGGACGGGAGGGACCGGGGGGCUCCGGGGGGACAGAGGCGGCANNNNNNNNNNUGUCCCCAGAAGGGUUUUGGGGGACACAGGACCCCGGGGAUUUGGGGACCCGGGACCCCGGGGUGUCCUCGGGAUGGCGGGAGGCGGAUCCCGGGCAGGGGCGGCUGUCGCAUGUCGCCAUUGGGGGAUGAGGAUGUCGCGAUUGUCGCCAGGCCCGGCUGUAGGGAGCGGCAGCGGCUGUCGCGAGAUGUCCCCAACGGCCCCCGGCGCGAGCGGCGCUGUCCCCAACGUCCCCAACAGCCGCGGGGGGAUGGGGAUCGGGGGGAGCCUGGAAAGGACGGGGUGAGACCCCAAAAUCGCCACAAAAAUCCCAUCAAAAAGCCCCCAAAUCCACUCCAAAAUCCACUCCAAAACCAUAUAAAAAUCCCCCCAAACCCAUGGAAAUCCCUACCCCAAAACUCCCUCCACAAUUCACUGCAAAUUCCCACAAUUCAUGAAUUAUUUUUAUUUCGUUCACAUAGAAAAUAUUUUCUUACAUUUUUCAAGCUUUCAAUAUUUUCAUUUACAUGGACAAGUUGA